rnacentral:rRNA from 1 species
GCAGGCUGCAACUCGCCUGCAUGAAGUCGGAAUUGCUAGUAAUCGCGGAUCAGCAUGCCGCGGUGAAUACGUUCCCGGGCCUUGUACACACCGCCCGUCACACCAUGAGAGCCGGUAACACCCGAAGUCAGUAGUCUAACCGCAAGGGGGACGCUGCCGAAGGUGGGGCUGGUGAUUGGGGUGAAGUCGUAACAAGGUAAC